AGAGUCUCACUAAGCCACUAAGUUGUCCAGGCUGGACCUGAACUCCUGAUCCUCCUGCCUCAGCCUUCCAGAGUCAGGAUGACAGCUUGUGCUGGCCAUGAAGGGGGCUGAGAAGCCGGCCGUGGUGGCGCACAUCUGUCAUCCCAGCACUCAGGAGGCUGAGACAGGAGGAUGGCAAGUCCAACCCCAGCCUGGGGAAGUUGGUGACUUAGUGAGACCCUGUGUCAAAAUAAAAAAGGUAAAAGGGCUGGGGGUGGAGCUCAGUGCAAAGGCCCUGGGCUCAGUACCCAGUGGUGCAAAACAAAUAAAUACAGAUAACCAAAAAUCAGCAAUAAGAAGCCUCAGUUGCCUGAUACCAUGGGUAAGGUGUCUCACAGGUUUGGGAAAACUGGCUGUCCUCUCAGGCCAGGGGGCCACGGGCACAGACACGCUCACAGCUGUGUGGCUGGGACAGGGCCUCCAGCUGCCUGGGCAGCAGAGGCAGCGGCCUCUCCUCAGCGUCUCGGGAUUAAAUAAGGGAGGGGUCUUCUCCCACAGUGCUCGGCAGCUGGUGAAUGCACAGCAGUGUUCCUUUGGUUGUUUUGUUUUUUGAGACGGGGUCUCACUCUGCAGCCCAUGCUGGGCUCCAACUCAGCAUCCUCCUGCCUCAGCCUCCCGAGUGCUGGGACGACAGUCACGGGCACCACACCUGGUGCACAGCAAUAUUCUUACUGUAGCUGUUUGGGUAAUUCAUGCUUGAAAUGUUUGUAAAAGUUUAAUUUGUCAAAUUGCUGAGUUUCUUUCUUUUUUUGGUACUCGGCACCUUGCACUUGGCAGGCGGCGGAACCACUGAGCUACGUCCCCGGCCCUGAGUUCCAUUUUUAUUUGUGUGAUCGGUAGGUGCCUUUAACAAGAUGUCAAUAAUCUGAGGAAUCCACACGGCUGGUGAGCUGGGCCUGGAGCCCGGUUCGGGGCUGGUGCGGUGCUGGGACAGAGCUGAGUAACCCCCAACACAGCCGAGGUGACCCUGGAGCCGAGAGCCGGGUCCCUUCGCUGCCUCCCGCUGCUGCCCUUCCCGCCCGGCCUGGACCCUGAGCCUCUUCCUCCGGCUCCCACACGGGCUGCCGCUCCCUUCCUGGAGACUGGUCCCUAUCUCCCCGCUGCUGCUGCUGCUGCUGCUGCUCCUGCUCCCCACCCCCCCACGCUGCUCCUGAUAUCUCCGCCCUGCAGCUCCAGGUGCCUAUCUCCUGGGCCCGCUGGAGCCCCUGUGACUGAGGUGCUUCCGCCUCCCUGGCUGCCCACCCGCCUGGACCCACACCUGCUGGCCUCGGAAGCCAGUGGGGCCGACGUCCAUGCUCCGGGUCCCCUCGCCCUCUGCUCCCCUCCAUCCUUCUCCUCCCGAGUGCCAGCUGCACCCAGGGGCCACACAGGCUUGGAAGUCGCGACAGGAAGCUGUGCUGGGCAGCUGAGGCCAGAGCUGUCUGCACAACAGAGUAACGCAGUGGCCCAGGACAAGGUGACAGCAUGUCCUGCAGGACCUCAGGUGCCGUGACUGCGGGUGCAGGAGUCAGGCCACAGGCAGGAAGGGCUCACCGAGCUGUGGGAGUAGGCAGGGCUCACAGGUCCUGAAUGAAGCAGAAACAGCCGGGCAUGGUGGCACAUGCCUGUCAUCUCAACGCUUGGGAGGCUGAGGCAGGAGGUCGCUGUGAGUUCCAGGCCAGCCUGGGCUAUACAGCGAGAUCCUGUCUCAAAAAACAAAAAAACAACAAAAAAGCAGACACAGAAGAACCAAGGGUGGACUGGCCGUUUUGAAGUCUCUCCUUUAAGGAGGGACAGGAGCUGCAGAAUAGAAGUGACCAGAGGGUAGGGCAGGUGCUGCAGGCUCUGUGAGCCUUAGUGGCCGAGGCGGCCGUGCUGAGUGGAAGUGGCUGCUCGGAGGGCGGGCUGUGCUUCUCAGUUUCCUGGAGGCCCGAGGAGUGGCCGCCCUCCAGCAGGCAACUGCAGCUCAGCCCCGACUUGCAGCGACCGGCCCAGCACCGGCCCCUGUUCUCAAUGACACCAGUGCCGUGCCAGAGCCCGAGGGAUAGGACAGUGUCCAGGGGUCCCUGCCAACACGUGCAAGCGAGGCGUGGGUUUUCGUCACAUGCUGGCUCGGCCGCUCCCGUCAAAGGGUUGACCCUUGAAGUCUGGGUGGUGUCAUCCAGCCGUUACAAGGCCUUAAGAACACAAAGGGCCCGGAUGGGAUGGCACAGGCCUGUUGUACCAGCACUCUGGGAGGCUGAGGCAGGAGGAUCCAGUUUGAGUCCAGCUCCAGCAACUUAGCUUCUUAGUAAGAUCUCAAAAUAAGAAAAGAAGAAAAAAAGAGGGCUGGACAUGGAGCUCGGGGCAAAGGCCCUGGGUUCAGUUCCCGGUGAAAAAAAAAGAACAAAAGAGGUUUCCCUGAUGAAGAAGAAAUUCUGCCGGCGAAUGGCAAUGUGGAUCCUGGGCAGAGGUUCCAGCUCUCCCUGCUCCAAGGCGCCUGGCCCAAGUGCGCUGAGGGUGAGGCCAGCCAGCAAAGUAGUCAGGCUCCCAAGACAAGCUCUUCUGCUCAUUUGUUUUCUGAGACAGG
ensembl:lncRNA